CAGCCGCGGGAAUACGUAGGUGGCAAGCGUUGUCCGGAAUUAUUGGGCGUAAAGCGCGCGCAGGCGGAUCGGUCAGUCUGUCUUAAAAGUUCGGGGCUUAACCCCGUGAUGGGAUGGAAACUGCCAAUCUAGAGUAUCGGAGAGGAAAGUGGAAUUCCUAGUGUAGCGGUGAAAUGCGUAGGUAUUAGGAAGAACACCAGUGGCGAAGGCGACUUUCUGGACGAAAACUGACGCUGAGGCGCGAAAGCCAGGGGAGCGAACGGGAUUAGAUACCCGCGUAGUCCCUGUCUCUUAUACACAU
rnacentral:rRNA from 1 species